AGAGUUUGAUCCUGGCUCAGAUUGAACGCUGGCGGCAUGCUUUACACAUGCAAGUCGAACGGCAGCACGGGUGCUUGCACCUGGUGGCGAGUGGCGAACGGGUGAGUAAUGCACCGGAACGUACCCAGUAAUGGGGGAUAACACAUCGAAAGAUGUGCUAAUACCGCAUACGCCCUGAGGGGGAAAGCGGGGGAUCGUAAGACCUCGCGUUAUUGGAGCGGCCGAUGCCGUAUUAGCUAGUUGGUGAGGUAAGAGCUCACCAAGGCGACGAUCCGUAGCUGGUCUGAGAGGACGACCAGCCACACUGGGACUGAGACACGGCCCAGACUCCUACGGGAGGCAGCAGUGGGGAAUUUUGGACAAUGGGCGCAAGCCUGAUCCGGCCAUGCCGCGUGAGUGAAGAAGGCCUUCGGGUUGUAAAUCUCUUUCCAAGGAAAGAAAACUUAUCUACUAA
rnacentral:rRNA from 1 species